UGCCAGCAGCCGCGGUAAUACGGAGGAGGCAAGCGUUGUUCGGAAUCACUGGGCUUAAAGCGCGUGUAGGCGGGGUGGAAGGUGUCUUGUGAAAGCCCUCGGCUCAACCGAGGAAUUGCAGGGCAAACCAUCACCCUUGAGGCAGGUAGAGGCAAGUGGAACUAUGGGUGGAGCGGUGAAAUGCGUUGAUAUCCAUGGGAACGCCGGUGGCGAAAGCGGCUUGCUGGGCCUGUCCUGACGCUGAGACGCGAAAGCGUGGGUAGCAAACAGGAUUAGAUA
rnacentral:rRNA from 1 species